UCGAAUAAACUUGAACAGGUUGUUGCUGGCCCUCCAAGGCAUCCGUGCACGCUUGGUCAAUCUUUAUUUCUCCAACUUGUGCACCUAUUGUAGACCUAUGAUUCGUUCGAGUUGGGACUGCCGUGCUUUCAAGUCGGCUUUCCCUUGUCUACGUCACAAAAACUGUUUUUUGAUGUAGAAAGUCCCAUUGAAAUAAUAAUUAUAA
rnacentral:misc_RNA from 1 species